ensembl:lncRNA
CGAACACGUAGACAUCAGCCGGAAUGAGGUUUCACCUGUGAUGACCUGUAUUUGUCAUUAAAAAGGAUAAACCCACAUGAAGACCUGUCUAUGGGAGGAAAAACAGCUGUCUAUGGGGGAAACGCAAGCCAUUUUGAAGCUGAGAAGAGAGGGAAAAUGUAUCUUAGCCAGUGCACGAGCAUUGGGCAUAAUCAAUACAGCAAUUUGGAAUGUCUUGAAAAAGAAAGAAACCACUGGUGUAUUAAUAACCAGACAUUGAACAGGGCAGGGGUGACGGUAUCACAAUCCACCAUUCGAAGAAGACGUCAAGUGCAGAAAUAUAGAGGCAAUACCACAAGGUGCAAACCACUCAUCAGCAGUAAGAAUCGAAAAGCCAGAUUGGAAUUUGCAAAAGAAGUACAGAGAUGAGCCACAAAAGUUCUGUAACCAAGAUUAACCUCAACCAAAGUAAUGGAAAGGCCAAAGUGAGGAGAAAGAAUGGAUCUGCUCAUGAUCCAAAAGCUAGAAGCUCAUCAGUCAAGCAUGGUGGAAGUAGUGUCAUGGCUUGGGUUUGCAUGGCUGCUUCUGGAACAGGCUCACUAAUCUUUAUUGAUGAUGUAACUCAUGUCGGUAACAACAGAAUGAAUUCAGAAGUUUACAGGAACAAUGUCUUCCAAUUUUCAGAGAAAUGCAUCCAACCUAAUUGGGAGGAACUUCAUCAUGCAGCAAGACAAUGAUCCAAAACACACUGCCAACACAAUAAAUGACCUCAUCUAAAAAGGCAACAGUUUGGUGAUGUGAAUGCAUCUUCGGGUUGAUGCAGUUAUUGCAAGCAAGGGAUAUGCAACCGGAUAUUAAGUGUUAUUUACUUUAAGGCCAUCUGUUCCAUUAUUAUUGCUCCCCUAAAAAUUAGGUGUUCUGAUACAAAAGGUUUUAUGUUGUUUAACACAUCUAGAUGUAAAUACCAGGAAAUGAAAGCUGAAAUUCUGAUCUAUUGUCUCAUCCAUCUUUGGAUCCUUCAGUGUAUAGCACAAACAAAAGAAUAAGCAUUGCCUUUCCAAUAGUUUUGGAGUGGACUGUAUACUGAUAACAUAAUAUUUUGUUAACAUUUAGCAUAAAGUAUGUCUGUCACGUCAACACACACACACUGUAGUUUGAACUUUGUGUUCUCUGUACAACACAUACACUGUAUAUGUACAUGACUAU